rnacentral:rRNA from 1 species
GAGUUUGAUCCUGGCUCAGAUUGAACGCUGGCGGCAUGCCUUACACAUGCAAGUCGAACGGCAGCACGGGUGCUUGCACCUGGUGGCGAGUGGCGAACGGGUGAGUAAUACAUCGGAACGUGUCCUGUAGUGGGGGAUAGCCCGGCGAAAGCCGGAUUAAUACCGCAUACGAUCUGAGGAUGAAAGCGGGGGACCUUCGGGCCUCGCGCUAUAGGGUUGGCCGAUGGCUGAUUAGCUAGUUGGUGGGGUAAAGGCCUACCAAGGCGACGAUCAGUAGCUGGUCUGAGAGGACGACCAGCCACACUGGGACUGAGACACGGCCCAGACUCCUACGGGAGGCAGCAGUGGGGAAUUUUGGACAAUGGGCGAAAGCCU